rnacentral:rRNA from 1 species
GAUGAACGCUGGCGGCGUGCCUAAUACAUGCAAGUCGAGCGAACGGACGAGAAGCUUGCUUCUCUGAUGUUAGCGGCGGACGGGUGAGUAACACGUGGAUAACCUACCUAUAAGACUGGGAUAACUUCGGGAAACCGGAGCUAAUACCGGAUAAUAUUUUGAACCGCAUGGUUCAAAAGUGAAAGACGGUCUUGCUGUCACUUAUAGAUGGAUCCGCGCUGCAUUAGCUAGUUGGUAAGGUAACGGCUUACCAAGGCAACGAUGCAUAGCCGACCUGAGAGGGUGAUCGGCCACACUGGAACUGAGACACGGUCCAGACUCCUGCGGGAGGCAGCAGUAGGGAAUCUUCCGCAAUGGGCGAAAGCCUGACGGAGCAACGCCGCGUGAGUGAUGAAGGUCUUCGGAUCGUAAAACUCUGUUAUUAGGGAAGAACAUAUGUGUAAGUAACUGUGCACAUCUUGACGGUACCUAAUCAGAAAGCCACGGCUAACUACGUGCCAGCAGCCGCGGUAAUACGUAGGUGGCAAGCGUUAUCCGGAAUUAUUGGGCGUAAAGCGCGCGUAGGCGGUUUUUUAAGUCUGAUGUGAAAGCCCACGGCUCAACCGUGGAGGGUCAUUGGAAACUGGAAAACUUGAGUGCAGAAGAGGAAAGUGGAAUUCCAUGUGUAGCGGUGAAAUGCGCAGAGAUAUGGAGGAACACCAGUGGCGAAGGCGACUUUCUGGUCUGUAACUGACGCUGAUGUGCGAAAGCGUGGGGAUCAAACAGGAUUAGAUACCCUGGUAGUCCACGCCGUAAACGAUGAGUGCUAAGUGUUAGGGGGUUUCCGCCCCUUAGUGCUGCAGCUAACGCAUUAAGCACUCCGCCUGGGGAGUACGACCGCAAGGUUGAAACUCAAAGGAAUUGACGGGGACCCGCACAAGCGGUGGAGCAUGUGGUUUAAUUCGAAGCAACGCGAAGAACCUUACCAAAUCUUGACAUCCUUUGACAACUCUAGAGAUAGAGCCUUCCCCUUCGGGGGACAAAGUGACAGGUGGUGCAUGGUUGUCGUCAGCUCGUGUCGUGAGAUGUUGGGUUAAGUCCCGCAACGAGCGCAACCCUUAAGCUUAGUUGCCAUCAUUAAGUUGGGCACUCUAAGUUGACUGCCGGUGACAAACCGGAGGAAGGUGGGGAUGACGUCAAAUCAUCAUGCCCCUUAUGAUUUGGGCUACACACAUGCUACAAUGGACAAUACAAAGGGCAGCGAAACCGCGAGGUCAAGCAAAUCCCAUAAAGUUGUUCUCAGUUCGGAUUGUAGUCUGCAACUCGACUACAUGAAGCUGGAAUCGCUAGUAAUCGUAGAUCAGCAUGCUACGGUGAAUACGUUCCCGGGUCU